rnacentral:lncRNA from 1 species
UGGGAGGAGAACUUUUCUAUUCUAAGACAGGAUCUUGGGUUAGCUCAACAGAUCAGGAAUGAUCAGGAGUAUAAGACUUUCUUUAUAAUACAGAACAUUUACCUUGGAUAUCAAGGAGUGGCCAAGGCUUAAUUUAAAAAAUGACUGCUGUAUCCUACUGCUCCCCUCAAAACCUGAAUUUUUCAAGGACAUCAGAAAAAGCGCUUAAGUAAUCCUUGGCUUUGGGCCAUGGGGUAUGGUGUGGUAAAGGGAAGAUUUUGGAAUCUCAUACUAGAAAGAUAAAAAGAGGAGUAUCAGAGUGGCUGCAAUCCAGCGCUCUGCAGAAAGGUGGAGGUGCAAGUUCAGGGAGUCAAAACUUCGGGAAGCUGUGGAGGGGACAGAGAGCAAGGGUAAAAAGCAAGCCAGCUUCUCCUCUCCGGGCAAAGGCAAGCCUCUAGCUCUUGGCACAAAGGCAUCUUCACUGUGGCCUGAUCUUGCCAGCGUCAAUUCUGAGAGACUCUGAAAGGGGUGAGACCAUCAAGGGAGUGACUUAUCAUGGCUCAGUUCCCAUGUCAAGGGGCUGAGUUGAGCUGGGAGCCUUGGUGUCACCCAACAAUCACUGCUGGUGGUGCUGUGAUGAUGUCACAGAGGAGCCCCACCCUGGUGUCCUCGGAGCUGGACCAAGGACCCAGAAGGAAAGUCCACCUUCCCAGCACAGCUGAGCCGUCCACCCUCUCGGCUACUUGUCAGGCUGACUACCAGCUCAAAGGGGGCCUGCACAAUCCAGAAACAAUGUCAACGGACGAUAUGAGUAAGCCUAGCAACCCCAAGACCCCUGAGCCCAAGCACUGUGAUCCCAGGUGUGAACAGAAGUGUGAGUCCAGCUGCCAGCCCAGCUAUUUAAAGAAGCUGCUGCGAGGCUGCUCUGAAAAGUGCUCACGCGAGAAGUGUCCUCCACCUCCAGAGUGCCCGCCGGCCGUGCCCCCCCAAGCCCUGCUCCAAGCCUUGCCCUCCUAAGUGCACCCCUGCCUGCCCACCCCCAGAGUGAGGCACCAUGGUUGCCACCACCAUGCCGCCACCACGGCCCCGUACGACGCCUGCGGCUGGAACCCAAGCCCUGACCUGACGAGUAAAGGUGACUUCUGCUGCGCAUGGCCUCCCAGGGUCCUGGGGGGUUUGCUUUCCUCCGUCGUCAUCGUUUCAGAGCAUGGAAGCACCAAGAACCAAUCCCUAAGGAGCGAGUGGGACCAGAGUUCCAGACCUCCACUACCAAAGCCCUUCGAGUCCCCGCUGCCCUCUGUCCCUGUCUGCUUCUUAGAGGAAGCUGCCCGUCCUGCAGAGUGCAUCGCAGGAGCACAGGCCCCUGGGAGAACAGUGAACAUGGCGGCAGCUGGGAAAAUGCAGGAACCCCAGGGAGUGAAACGUAGAGGGCCUGAGAGGAAAAGCGGAGGCGGACUUUAGCAAACUCUUAGUACGGUAUCCUAAUGGCUAUGCAGAUGGCUCUGAGAACCCACCGUGUGGGUUUAAACUCUAGCUCUGUUUCCUAGCAACUUUGUGAUUUAUGCAAGUUAUUUAAUUUUUCUGUGCCUCAGUUUCCUUCUCACUGCCGAAGUUGCAGCACUGUUCUGAGACUCGGAAGCUGACAAAUGCCUGGUGCACAGGGUACUGGAACAUAGGGGUACUGAGUGGAGGGAGUACCCUACACUUGGCCGGGCCUAACACUCACACAACUUAAUUGCCUGCACUUUUCUUCCUCGACGAAGUGUAAGACUCCUGAGCACACCGGUCAGGCUCUAAUACAACCCGCUAGACCCAGCUGGACAGUCUCACAAAAAUAGAAAAGGAGUUGUAUCCAUUCCUUGGGUUUGAUGCUGAGCUAUCCAAUGAUGUAACGUCACUAUUGAGAGGGUCCCAGUGAAAGGGACACAGGAGCUCUACUUUGCAGUUUUCUGUAAAUCUGUAGUAUUUCCAAAUGAAAACUUAGAUACAAAAAACUAGAUAUGUAUGUGGGGGGACCCCGUUAGGAAUGGACAGAGAGAAGGCACUCACAGCUAACACCUUAGUGGGGAUUAUUUACAAAGAGCUAGAGUCCACAUCAGACUGGCUUAAUUCACAAGAGGGAAUUUACUGGCUCAUGUUGCUGAGGAUAUGCAAGAGAGACAUUAGCACAGAGAACUGCAGCAACAAGGAAGCCCUUCAGGGGAUGGGUACGCAGAUUGCUCCUCCAUUUUAGUCUCUCUCAGCGCCCUGAGAUAUAUCCCACCCUCUCCUAAUGUCUCCCCCUGUGCACAAAUUGGGUAUGAGGACACUCCAGUUGUCUCCAGGAAAGGACACUGGUGGCCUAGAAGGUCAUGUGCCCACCCCUUUAGGCAAGCAGAUGACAGAGCUCUGCCAAGCAGAUCAACCGAGCUAUGGAUUAUUACAGUCCACAGUAUCUAAAUGGAAGUAGGUUUAGCAUUCUCUACAGUCAUAGGAAGAGGUCAUAAAAAAGGUCAGCUCUGGGAUGUUCUCCAAAUCAUGGCAUAUCAACAGCUCCAUCCUCCUCAGGCUAGAGGACGGUUCAGGCAACAGAGGGUAUGGCAAGUACAGAGAGUUCAAACUAUGCCAAAAAAAAAAAAAAAAAAGAUACCAGAGACCCCCUUUAAGACCCAGGCCUUGUCAUCAGCUAGUUACAGAUGUAGGCCAUUAGAAGAGGGAGCAAGACAAUGACUUUAGGGGUCCACCUCCUCAUUUUUCAAAUGUGAAAACUAGUGGUUACUUGUCUAAUGUGAAGAUGACUUGAAACCUCAGGGUCUCUAGGACAGGAUGAAAGCCUGAUCCUAGGAUCUCACACUCCAGAGCUCUGUACAGUACUGUCUGCUGGAGGCCAAGAACCACUAGAACCCCAUGUCAGAGCCAUGCGGGCUAUGGUGGAUGGCCGAUGACCACAGGAAAACCCUCCCACCUCACAGGAGAUCAUAAAGAAGGAAGCAAAAGGCUGAAGGUGAAGCUCAGAGUACAGCAAUUGCCUAACAUGCACAAAGCCCUGAGUUUGAUCCCCAGCACAGGGGAUAAAGAGGAACAAAAAGGAAGAAGGGGAAGAAAGGAAGGGGGAGAGAAUAAUGUGACACCCUUUUGCAUCUAUUAAAUGAUCACUUUCAAUUAAUAAGUCCCAGAACUCCCAUGUGAAAAUUGUGUCACUGUCAGUUGGAAUAUAAAUAAAUAUCAUUUUAGGAAACAAUUUGUCCAACAAGAUAAUAGACAUCAAAGGCAUGAAGUGAUUCACUAUUUUGACUCAAAGGAUUUACUUUAUAGAACUUAGGGCCAAAAAAAAUUUCUAACUGGGAAGAAAAAAUAAUUGCAAAAUGGGAGGAAAUGCUGUAUAAACAAAAGUGAUCAUCAUAGUAUAACUUUAAAAAUUCCAAUAUCUAACAAUGCAUGAUUAAAUGAACACGAACCUAUUACUCCAUGGAGUAUUACAGUCAUUUAAAAUGUACUGAAGAGGGGAUGUGGCUCAGUGAUGGAGUGCUUGCCUUGCGUGCAGUAGGCCCUGGGGUCCAAUCUCCAGCAAGAAAAGAAAAAUGUACUGAAGAAAAAAAAAGCUCACUUGAAUGUGCAUCAUAAAACAAUUAUCUGUAACAAAAAGCUUCAAUGAAUAAAAAUAAUAGAAAUUAAUUUGUGAACAUUCUAUGUUAGCAUAAUGGGGUGAUGAGUAAUGAUUACUUUUAUUUUUACUGGUGUUGUUAAUAUGCUUUUAUUUUAUAACAGGAAAAAUAAAUAAUCAUGAAAUAAUAAUUCAUUAAAUAAGUAUGAGCACUUCAGAGACCUCCCCAGAGUUCCCGGAAGACUUUAGCAGAGUAUCUCAGGGGACGUGCACCAUGCAGAUGGCACCUCACUUGGGUGCCUUCCGCCUGGAGUACCACUGCCG